rnacentral:rRNA from 1 species
GACGAACGCUGGCGGCGUGCUUAACACAUGCAAGUCGAACGGGAGUAUUGAGGAAGCUUGCUUUAGAGAUACUUUAGUGGCGGACGGGUGAGUAACGCGUGAGGAGCUGUCCAAUGCAGGGGGACAACAGUUGGAAACGACUGCUAAUACCCCAUAAGCCGAGAGGUAAAAGGAUUUAUCCGGCAAUGGAGGUACUCGCGUCCUAUCAGCUAGUAGGUGAGGUAACGGCUCACCUAGGCGAAGACGGGUAGCCGGCCUGAGAGGGCGAACGGCCACACUGGAACUGAGAUACGGUCCAGACUCCUACGGGAGGCAGCAGUGGGGAAUAUUGGGCAAUGGGGGGAACCCUGACCCAGCGACGCCGCGUGGGUGAAGAAAUCCUUCGGGAUGUAAAGCCCUGUUGUAUGGGAAGAGCGGAAGACGGUACCGGAAGAAUAAGCCCCGGCAAACUUCGUGCCAGCAGCCGCGGUAA